UACGUAGGGGGCAAGCGUUGUCCGGAAUCAUUGGGCGUAAGGAGCGUGUAGGCGGCUCGAUAAGUCUGCUGUGAAAGUCCAGGGCUCAACCCUGGAAUGCCGGUGGAAACUGUCGGGCUGGAGUCCGGAAGAGGCGAGUGGAAUUCCUGGUGUAGCGGUGAAAUGCGCAGAUAUCAGGGGGAACACCAAUGGCGAAGGCAGCUCGCUGGGACGGUACUGACGCUGAGACGCGAAAGCGUGGGGAGCAAACAGGG
rnacentral:rRNA from 1 species